rnacentral:rRNA from 1 species
GUUUGAUCCUGGAUCAGGACGAACGCUGGGGGCUUGCUUAUGCAUGCAAGUCGUACAAUAAUCUGAAGCUUGCUCCAUGGAGUAGUGGCGAGGGUUUACCAAGACGUGUGAAACCUGCUUCGGAAUUUGCAUAACAACUGGAAAUGUUUGCUAGUUUUAUACCUUCGGAUAGUCACAUGACUUUCUGACGAAUGGAAUUCCCAUUCGAGAGGGUCUCGCGUCCUAUUAGGGUAUUNNNNNNNUAAUGGCCCACCAAGGCAACAACCGAUAGGUGGUCUGAGACGAUGGACACUCAUACUGGGACUGACACCUCCCCCACACUCCUACGGGAGGCAGCAGUGGGGAACCUUGCGCGUGGUCGAAAGCCUGACGCAUUGUGCCGCGUGCGGGAAGAAGGCUUUCUGACUGUACACCGCUUUCAACACGAACUAAAUUGAUGGUACCUGCUGAAUAAGGAGCAGCCAACUAUGUGCCAUCAGCCGCGGUGAUACAUAGGCUUCAAGCGUUGUCCGGAUUUAUUGAGCGAAAAGAGUCGUAGGCGGCUGAUUGAUCCGGUGUGAAAAUUCUGGGCUUAGACCAGAAACUCCAUCCGAUACUGCUUGACUUGAUUUCGAUAGGGGAGUGG